rnacentral:rRNA from 1 species
GACGAACGCUGGCGGCGUGCCUAAUACAUGCAAGUCGAGCGGACAGAAGGGAGCUUGCUCCCGGAAGUUAGCGGCGGACGGGUGAGUAACACGUGGGCAACCUACCCUGUAGAUCGGGAUAACAUCGAGAAAUCGGUUCUAAUACCGGAUAAUCAUUUCAAGUGCAUGCUUCGAAUGUAAAAGAUGGCUCCGGCUAUCACUACGGGAUGGGCCCGCGGCGCAUUAGCUAGUUGGUAAGGUAAUGGCUUACCAAGGCAACGAUGCCUAGCCGACCGGGGAGGGGGAGCGGCCACACUGGGACUGAGACACGGCCCAGACUCCUACGGGAGGGAGCAGUAGGGAAUCUUCCGGAAUGGACGAAAGUCUGAAGGAGCAAAGCCGCGUGAGUGAUGAAGGUUUUCGGAUCGGAAAGCUCUGUUGUUAGGGAAGAACCAGUUGCGUUUGAAUAAGGUGGCACCUUGACGGUACCUAACCAGAAAGCCACGGCUAACUACGUGCCAGCCGCCGCCGUAAAAC